rfam:Rattus norvegicus chromosome 6, whole genome shotgun sequence.
GUAGAGAUGACUCAGUGGUUAAGAGCACAGGCUGCUCUUCCUGAGGUCCUGGGUUCAAUUCCUAGCAACUACA